CACACUUUCUCCCUUUCCUUCACUACUCUGAACCACUGGUGGGAGUUAGGGUUCAGCUUCUUCGUUCUGAACCACUGGUGGGAGUUAGGGUUCAACUUCUCUUUGCCGUUCUGCCGUGACGCAGCAGUUCUGUCGUGCUUGGCUCGCUAUUGCUCACUGUGACGUGACCCAUUGGCUUGGCUUGGUGAUUACUGAUUUUGCAUUUUGAUUUUCAUUUGAAAGCAAGGAGAAGGAAGAGGAAUUUGGUGGGGACAUCCUGCUCCAAGUCUUUGAUUUGCCUGCAAGAGUACAAGUUGUUGAAGGGUCUAGUAUACCAACUACCACUAUGGAUGACCCCAGACACCAUGUUGAAGACGAGCAGCAUGAUCAUGUUGAUGACGAGCAGCAUGAUCAUGUUGAUGAUACACCGAAAGAUUGUUGAUUGUAUGUGUAUUUCUCUUUUAUGAUCAUAUACUUGUUUUAGUUUUUACUAUUAGUUAAAUGUUAUAUACUCCUUUUAGAUGCUUUUAGUUAAUUGUGGUUUUGAAGACUUAUUUUGGAUGUUUUAUAUUAGUUAUGGUUUAGAAUACUUUAUUUGAUUUUUACUAUUAGUUAUUAGUUAAAUGUCAUUUCUUUUUUGGAUUCUUUUUAUUAGUUGUGAUUUUGUAGAUUGUAUCAAACAUUAUAUAUUUUAAUUAUUUUUAUUGUGA